rnacentral:lncRNA from 1 species
AACACAAGUACUGUACAGACCAUUUCAUUUCAUUGCUACUCCAGCACAGUUCAUGUCAACGCAGCUAAGCAGAUAAUUUCAGUGAAACAAUGUUUUGAGGGUGUUUCUUAGGUGUUCAUCAGGUGCUGAAUACGGAAACAGAACUGAUACCAUAUUGCAGUGAAAUGUGUAGCGACACAAGAAGCCACUGUAAUCGAUGGCUACUUAGGGCAGUACCAUUCUGCUCAUCUGAUGAAGGUGCACAUGGAUCAGAUUCAAACUUUGAAGACCGAGAUCGAGUCAUUGAAGGCAGACCAGCAGAAGAGAAACAUUAUCGGAGGGCAGAGAUACGGGCAACAGCUGAUGCAUUGGUCCAGUGCCAGGCGGCAUUGGCGGAGCGUCAGGCGGAGAAUGACGCGUUGAAGAGGGUGAGGAACGUAAUGGAGUCACAAUCCAUGCCAGACACACCUGUGAGCUCUGAAACUUUACCUCCGACAGGCAGAGUCAACAUACCUGGCGGGUUCGUCAGGUCGUCGGUUCACCCUGACAUUUCCAUUCCUCUUCUGCCAACAGAACUUGACCAACUGCUCACCAGGCACAGCGUUAUGCUGUUCUGCUAUUCCAAGGAUGUGUAACCGAAGCGAGAUACCACGAGUGGGCACAGAAUACCAACUGGGAUGGAUCCCAAGGCAAAUGUUGCUUACCAAUGAACCUUCAGCUGUUCAUCAUUAUUAUUGUCUCAGAAGUUUCUGUCCAUGACUGAUGCAACCCUAAAAAGCAUUAAAGACAGAGUUAGAGAACUUGAAGUCACAAAGAAAGUCUGGACAUGGCAUGCUCUCCCUUAUGUAAGGAAUUAGGCACUUUCCCAUGUUUAUUACAGUAUGUAGUGUAGGCUAUGUUUACUUGUCAGACUGCACAGUAGCCUAAUAAAACAAAUGCCUGCGGCUUAUAUUCAAAAUGCUUUAUUAUCCAAACGUAAAAGCAUAUACUGUACAGUAUUUCUUCAUCAGCAUCUUUAUGCUUUUGUUAAUAAAUUAAUGAUAAAAAUGCUCUUUCAAAACACACACUGUCACGUUGUACGGUGCCAUUAUGGCUAUUAAGCAGGGCUAUAUUAUGGCCUUCAUGGGAAGGUGCACAACUUGCCCAGCAUUUCAUAAAUAUAUGUUUUGGUCUUUACAAAUAUUAUUUUGGCCUUAGUGUUGUGUUCUUGGUUUUGUUUGAUUAAAGCGUUGCACCUGCUUCCGACUCACCGCCCCAUCAUUACAAG